AUUAAAGCAACGGUUCCCAUAAAAUCACCGAAGUUAAGCAACAUCGUACUUGGACAAUACCUAGAUGGGUGACCGCUUGGCAAUACGAGGUGCUGUAAG